rnacentral:rRNA from 1 species
AUGAACGCUGGCGGCGUGCCUAAUACAUGCAAGUCGCGCGAACGGACGAGAAGCUUGCUUCUCUGAUGUUAGCGGCGGACGGGUGAGUAACACGUGGAUAACCUACCUAUAAGGCUGGGAUAACUUCGGGAAACCGGAGCUAAUACCGGAUAAUAUUUUGAACCGCAUGGUUCAAAGGUGAAAGACGGUCUUGCUGUCACUUAUAGAUGGAUCCGCGCUGCAUUAGCUAGUUGGUAAGGUAACGGCCUACCAAGGCAACGAUGCAUAGCCGACCUGAGAGGGUGAUCGGCCACACUGGAACUGAGACACGGUCCAGACUCCUACGGGAGGCAGCAGUAGGGAAUCUUCCGCAAUGGGCGAAAGCCUGACGGAGCAACGCCGCGUGAGUGAUGAAGGUCUUCGGAUCGUAAAACUCUGUUAUUAGGGAAGAACAUAUGUGUAAGUAACUGUGCACAUCUUGACGGUACCUAAUCAGAAAGCCACGGCUAACUACGUG